AUAUUACUUCCUCCGUCUAACAAAGGAUGUCUCAACUUUGACUAACUUUGAAUGUAUCUAUACAGCAAGUCAUGUCCAGAUUCAUUCAAAUUUUGACAAACUUGAGACAUCUUUUGUUGGACGCAAGGAGUAGUAG
rfam:Brachypodium distachyon strain Bd21 chromosome 3, whole genome shotgun sequence.